rnacentral:rRNA from 1 species
UACGGGGGGGGGCAAGCGUUGUUCGGAAUUACUGGGCGUAAAGGGCUCGUAGGCGGCCAACUAAGUCAGACGUGAAAUCCCUCGGCUUAACCGGGGAACUGCGUCUGAUACUGGUUGGCUUGAGUGUGGGAGAGGGAUGCGGAAUUCCAGGUGUAGCGGUGAAAUGCGUAGAUAUCGGGAGGAAUACCAGUGGCGAAGGCGGUUCUCUGGGCCUUACCUGACGCUGAGACGCGAAAGCGUGGGGAGCGAACCGG